rnacentral:piRNA from 1 species
UACCCUACCUCACGGCAGUCUCCGCAGAU